rnacentral:lncRNA from 1 species
AAAGAAGAAAAACGCCUGCAGUGCAGACAGCCCCCAAUUCUAAUAAGAGAGCAGGGUUAACUUUUAUCUCUAUAUUUCAUGCAGCUUCGAUAGUCCUGGGGCAGCCCAGAAUCCCUUCUCUUAUCCCUUUGCAGAGUUGGUUUCUUAUCAUUUUCUCCUAUUCUUUUCUUCUUUCCCAGACUUCCUCACCUUUUCUCAUUUUUCUUCUGCUUUCUUGUUCUUCCCUGCUCUGCUUCUGUUAUCUAUUUUCCUUCUUUUUCUUCUCAUUCUCUUGUCACAGUCACUUCCCAAAAGACGUGAUUUCUUGCCCUGAUGACUGAAAACUGUCACAAGCAAUAUUCCUAAAAGAGAAAACUCAGACAAUUCCAUAAAAAGUAAUAACAGAAAGUAAGCCUUGGAAAAACUGCAAAAUGAAAAUAAUUUUGAUAAACAUAUGCAUUGGCAUCUAGUGUCCUUGCAUCUACAAACAGCCAGGUCAGACACUGAAAUCUUAGGGUCUACUCUAAGAUUUCAAACUUCAGGAGUUUUCUAUAAAUCUCCCCAAACCAGCUGCACCAGGGAAAAGUUAUGGUGCAGUUGCCUCUGAGAAACCCUGAGAAGCAUUUUCUAGAUCAGGGAUAAAUUGGUAAUGUGUGUGACAUCUUAAAUGAAGGAUUCUUAAUCUGUUUGUGUGUUAUGGAUCCCUCUGUCAGUCUGUUAAAACCUAGAAUAAUCCUUCUCAGAAUUAUAAUUUUAUACUUUCUCAGAGAAAAAAAAAUCUUUAUUAUAUCCCUUUUCAGAAUAAUAUUGUAAAUUCAAAAGAUAAAAUAUAUAAAAUCUCAAAGGAAAUCAAUAAUACUGAGGAACUUGUAUAUUUUUUUUUAAGUUCAAGGACCCCAAAAUAAGAAUACCAGCCUUAAAUCAUCUCAUAUGCCCUGACAAGCAACAACCAAUGGAAUGGUACAUAAUAACCCAUAUUUCAACGAAGAGCAGUAAUUUUAACUCCAGUUUGCUGACUAGCUCUCCAAUUCCCACCGGAUAGAAUAUCAUAAUCAUCCUUUCUAAAUGUGAAUGUCUACUCAUCUCUACUAUUCCAAAAGAUUUUCUUGGAGUGGAUUCAUACAGGGAUGAAAAUUCAAAGCAAAACACUGACAAAAAUGUACAUGUACAAUCACUUUGAAAAGAUUUCUUUUGACUUGUAGGAGUUGAUGCAGAGUGAACAAAACUGAACUAAAGGAACAAUAU